GCGGAGGAAAAGAAAAUAACAAUGAUUUCCCUAGUAACGGCGAGUGAAGAGGAAAGAGCUCAAAGUUGGAAACUGUUUGGCUUAGCUAAACCGUAUUGUAAACUGUAGAAACAUUUUCCUGGCACACCAGAUUAAUAAGUCCUUUGGAACAAGGCAUCAUGGAGGGUGAGAAUCCCGUCUUUGAUCUGAGUAGUUGUCUUUUGUGAUAUGUUUUCAAAGAGUCAGGUUGUUUGGGAAUGCAGCCUAAAUUGGGUGGUAAAUCUCACCUAAAGCUAAAUAUUUGCGAGAGACCGAUAGCGAACAAGUACCGUGAGGGAAAGAUGAAAAGAACUUUGAAAAGAGAGUUAAACAGUAUGUGAAAUUGUUAAAAGGGAACCGUUUGGAGCCAGACUGGUUUGACUGUAAUCAACCUAGAAUUCGUUUUGGGUGCACUUGCAGUCUAUACCUGCCAACAACAGUUUGAUUUGGAGGAAAAAAUUAGUAGGAAUGUGGCCUCUCGAGGUGUUAUAGCCUACUAUCAUACUCUGGAUUGGACUGAGGAACGCAGCGAAUGCCUUUAGGCGAGAUUGCUGGGUGCUUUCGCUAAUAAAUGUUAGAAUUUCUGCUUCGGGUGGUGCUAAUGUUUAAAGGAGGAACACAUCUAGUAUAUUUUUUAUUCGCUUAGGUUGUUGGCUUAAUGACUCUAAAUGAC
rnacentral:rRNA from 2 species